rnacentral:pre_miRNA from 1 species
GAUGUACUCCCUCCGUCAGAAAAUAUUUGUCGAAGAAAUGCAUAAAAAUGGAUGUAUCUAGAACUAAAAUAUGUCUAGAUACAUCCAUUCCUCCGACAAGUAUUUCCGGACGGAGGGAGUAUGUA